ensembl:lncRNA
CAAAUGGCUUCCUGUUCACCUUUUUUGCUCUCUGCAAACAUAACAUAAGUCACAACAUAACAUAGUGCCCUCAUAAAUAGUGUAGAAAAACAUUUAAGAUUCAGCCCCUGAAAGUGCACGCCUGUUUGUGUCGGUGUGUUUUUGAUGUUGUCUCAGAAAGUUUGCAUUCCCUGCUGAAACAUCCAGCUCGGGCAGAGGAGCUCCCAGCUGCCAAAACGCAGGCCGAACUGGUCAAACUGGUAGACCGCGUUUGACAGCUGGCAGAUGGACAUAGCUUUUUUUAAAUAAUGCAACAGUGAAGCAGGAACUGCUGUGUUCGUCUGUGGCAACAAUAACAACAGCGCCUUCUUCGAAACAGCUAUUCAGAACGGCUCAGUGUUGACUCCUGCUAACCUGACCGCCUUAAAUAUAACCAGUGUUCAGGGUUCAGUAUUGGGAAACGGGAGUCUUGUUCAGUGUGUCUUCAAUGUCACCCUCAAUUCCACCUUCCUCAAUUCCAUCUUCCUCAGUUCAACUGUUCAGCUGUCUUCCAACAUCAGCAUCUAUAAUGGAAGCACAAAUGGAACUGAACUGGAAAAUGCAACUACAUUAAUUACCACCGGACCUUUCGACUUGGCAAAUCCCAAGAGCAAUAUUCCAAGCAACAGCACAACACCACUGCUCAACAUCACUCGUAACGGUUGUGGCGCCACUAAGCUGUGCUUGUCAAAUGCGUCUACUUGCGAUCCAGCAGGAAACUCCAGCUGCUUUUUCAGCUCAUUUCAAGUGAACAACCAAAGUAUCUACUAUGAACUUAGUGGCACGACAUCAGGAUAUGUGGCGCUGGGACUCACUACCCAGAAUUCUACCUUUGUGUUUGUGUGCGCCAACAACACUAACAACAGCAGUUUCUUCUUUCAAACGGCUACUAAAAACGGCUCAGUUCUGACUGCUGCAAAUGUGACCACCGUAAACAGCUAUCAAGGUGUUGUAACACAAAACCUCAUUCAGUGUGUCUUCAACACCAGCGCCACUUUAAGCACCAGAGCUUCUAACACUGUGUACAGGAUCUACCUCAUGAACGGAACCACCAACGGAACUGAACUGGGUAUUGCAACUACACUGUAUACCUCCCCAUCAGCAGUAGACCUGUCUAAUCCUAGUGCCUUAAACACUGCAAACACCAACUUCUGCACUAAUGUGUUGGCUGUGCUGCUCGCCACUCUGACUCUACACCUCAUAUAAAAACCUGCCAUGUUCAUUUUAAUAUAAAAUCCCCAGAGCCUAUAAAUGUGUGUUACAGUAUCUGAUCUGUGCAUGUGUGUUUAUACAUUUAUGAAGCUAUUGUUAAUUGGCUGAACAUGGAACACAUCUGUCAUAUACAGUAUAAACAUCACCCUUUUAUUUAUUUAUUUUAUUUUUUUUUUACAGUCAAUACGAGAAAUUCAUUUGCACUUCCAUAGACGUCAGACUUUUAAAUAUAAAAAUUUAUAAUAACGAGGGCGCAAAUGUUUUGAAUAAAAUCUACUUUAUAUGAUCAUUUUAAUUAUUAAAUAAUUGUAAUUUCAGUAAUUUCAUGCUCAUCAUUUUUAUUUGAGAUACUUUAUACACCUAGGUGAAUGUAAGUUUCCACCCCUAAAACCUUCUAUAUGUUUUUCACUUUUGUUGGUUGAUAUCAUACUAAAGGUAAACAAAUAUCUAACAUGACUUGAUUUUAUUUUGGUGUUUUUUAAAUAUCAUUUAAACUAUUUUAACAGGUGUGUAGACUUUUUUAUAGUCACUGUGUGAGCUCACAGCUGGGAAAAUACACACGAGUGAAAGCAGCCUUAACGGUGUAUUUCUUUCUUUUUUACAUUUGACCUACAAUGUUGUCUAAAAACACUCAUGCCGAUUUUGUAAUGAUCUAAACUGCUAAAAUACCUAACUACAAAAGAUUUCCAUAUCAGCAUAUUUAUACAUUGUCAUAUGUGGGUUUGUUGUUGUUGUUGUGUCACAUUAUUAAGAUGGCCCCAUUUAUAAUGACUACAGUACUGUGCAAAAGUUUUAGGCACCCUAUUUGUUGUUGUUUUUUGUACAAACUUUGUUUGCUUGUUUUUUUUUCAUUUAAUGACGUCUACAUUAUGGAGUCGGUACGAAAAAAAAAACGUUUUAGAUUCCCAAACAUUCGUUUUCUGGCACAAAAGUAAAUGUUACAGAAAAAAGUAAAUCUUACAGUUGUUAAAGAAAGCAGCGUAUUAAGAGGUAAUAGAUGACUUUUCAGGCAAAAAAACCAUGACGAACGCUGCUGGGUUUCGCUGCAAAAAUAAGAAGUGCGUGCAACAGUCAAAGUCUCCAGAAGGUUCUGCGAGAUGCUCAGUAAGCCAGUAGCUCAUUUCCUUAUAAAACUGCACUAAUUAUACCGGAGACUACUAUUUUAUUUUUAUUUCUUUUUUUGUCACUAGAUAUUGACUUUGUUUCAUUUACUAUCAUUUAUUGCUCUUUAUGGUAUUUUUUUUUAAAUGUAGAAACAUUCCAUUUCAUUAUUUCAAGACAUCUUUGCUCUACAAUGACAAAAAAUUUUGUGCGGUACUCUACGUCUAGUCUCACUGUCUGGGUUUCUGAUAUGUGACACACCUGUAUAUGUGCGGCUUCAAAUAACACACCUGACCCGCACAGCCAGACAUUCAAUAUCAACUGAUACUAGUGUGUUCGCAUCUUUGUUGUCUAAUCAUUAUGCUGAAGAAAUGCUUUAAACAACACACCCUUAAACUAGCACACCAUACACCCUUCUCAAACACCCAAAUUCAAACUCUUCAAUCCUCACGCAAGCUGUACUUCAUGCACAAUGUGUAGAUCAGGUUAUGGUAUAUUAAUAAAGUGUGAAAUAUUGCUGUUCAUUACAGUUUGUGUGUUAUCCGGGACCGGCUUUGUUUACAAAAAUCUCUCAAUUAAAUAAAAUCCCAUUAAAAGCCUUGUGAUUGCUUUACCACCCUUGAAAGUGGAUUGAAAGAUAAUGUUAAUUAUACUCUUUAUUUGGCAUCCCUGAGAACUUGAACUGGAGUAACCCAAGACCACACCUUAUUUAUGAAACAGUUGGGAAUUACCGUACAUUAAUCCUCUGUUCUCUCAUCCUUCCAGCCCUGCAUUAGCAUACAGGAAGUACACAGAUCUGAC